rnacentral:rRNA from 1 species
AUUGAACGCUGGCGGCAGGCCUAACACAUGCAAGUCGAGCGGAUGACGGGGGCUUGCUCCUUGAUUCAGCGGCGGACGGGUGAGUAAUGCCUAGGAAUCUGCCUGGUAGUGGGGGACAACGUUUCGAAAGGAACGCUAAUACCGCAUACGUCCUACGGGAGAAAGCAGGGGACCUUCGGGCCUUGCGCUAUCAGAUGAGCCUAGGUCGGAUUAGCUAGUUGGUGAGGUAAUGGCUCACCAAGGCGACGAUCCGUCACUUGUCUGAGAGGAUGAUCAGGCACACUGGAACUGAGACACGGUCCGGACUCCUACGGGAGGCAGCAGUGGCGAAUAUUGGACAAUGGGCGAAAGCCUGAUCCAGCCAUGCCGCGUGUGUGAAGAAGGUCUUCAGAUUGUAAAGCACUUUAAGUUGGGAGGAAGGGCAGUAAGUUAAUACCUGUGAGUUUUGACGUUACCGACAGAAUAAGCACCGGCUAACUUCGUGCCAGCCGCCGCAGUAA